GCUGGGUGCAAUGGCUCACACCUGUAAUCUCAGCUACUCAGGAGGCUGAGGUGGGAGGAUGGGUUGAGCCCAGGAGUUCAGGCUAUUGUGUGUUAUGAUUGCACCUAUGAAUUGCCACUGCACUCCAGCCUGGGCAAUAUAGUCAGACCCCUUCUCUA
ensembl:misc_RNA Metazoa_SRP Metazoan signal recognition particle RNA